UACAGAGGGUGCAAGCGUUAAUCGGAAUUACUGGGCGUAAAGCGUGCGUAGACGGUUACAUAAGUCGGGUGUGAAAGCCCCGGGCUCAACCUGGGAACCGCGCUUGAGACUGGCACGCUAGAGUUCGGGAGAGGAUGGUGGAAUUCCCAGUGUAGAGGUGAAAUUCGUAGAUAUUGGGAAGAACACCGAUGGCGAAGGCAGCCAUCUGGACCGACACUGACGCUGAGGCGCGAAAGCGUGGGGAGCAAACAGG
rnacentral:rRNA from 1 species